rnacentral:lncRNA from 1 species
UGGGGCACUAAUAACUGGAGCAUUGGUAAUACGAGUGUUUUCCCCGGUCACUCCCCAUGGUAGGUGGUGGUGUAACCGUGUUUAACUACCAGGGGUUUUAUGACACUAUGUCAACAUAGGUCAGCUGAUAGCCAUUGUGUAUAGGUAAUCGGUAGUCACCCUGGCGCCUCAACAAAAUAUUAUAGAAUACUCUGUAGCCAAAGUAAUGCCACAAAGUAAAAAUGUAUAUUCUAGUAAUGAAAAUGUAUAUACAAGUUGGUGUAAUAAAAUGUAUGUUUAAUUCAAAGGAUUGUUUUGUAUAAGUUGUAAAUGAAAAACAGAGGAUGGAACCUCUACACAAAUGAGUAUAAUAUACAGAAAGUCUGUAGUAUUUUAAUUUUGGUAUUUGUGAAUUAUAAUUAACAACAGACAAAGAGAGACAACUCUAGAUUAAUUUUCAACAUAGUUUAGAAAAUACGUCAACAACUCUUGAUCGUUGUUCUUCAUCUCAUUGUUAUUCGUUCAGUACUGAUAUAGGGUCUUCUUAUAUGAGUAUUGCAAUUAAUAG